rnacentral:rRNA from 1 species
UGGGUAGUCCGUACGAGCGCACCUUGUCCCUAGUUGCCAGCACUUCGGGUGGGAACUCUAGGGAGACUGCCGGUGAUAAACCGGAGGAAGGUGGGGAUGACGUCAAGUCAUCAUGGCCCUUAUGGGGAGGGCUACACACGUGCUACAAUGGCCGGUACAGAGGGCUGCGAAGCCGCGAGGUGGAGCGAAUCUCAGAAAACCGGUCGUAGUCCGGAUUGCAGUCUGCAACUCGACUGCAUGAAGCCGGAAUUGCUAGUAAUCGCGGAUCAGAACGCCGCGGUGAAUACGUUCCCGGGCCUUGUACACACCGCCCGUCACACCAUGGGAGUGGGCUGUACCAGAAGUAGGUAGUCUAACCUUCGGGAGGACGCUUACCACGGUGUGGUUCAUGACUGGGGUGAAGUCGUAACAAGGUAGCCCUAGGGGAACCUGGGGCUGGAUCACCUCCUUU